GACCGGGAACGCCCUCGGCCCGGACCCUGGCAUCAGCUAGAGGGAUCCACCGAUGAGUCCGGUCGCGGGACUCCUCGGGACAACCACAGCGACUGGGAUCGUCAUCUCGGCUAGUUCGCGUGACCGGGAGAUCCGAGCAGAGGCAUAGCGAACUGCGCACGGAGAAGCCUAGAGGGAAUGCCGUAGGACCCGGGUUCGAUUCCCGGCAGCUCCACCG
rnacentral:tmRNA from 1 species